AGUAGAGAGACUCCUGCGAAGAAGGUGGAGGAUGUAAUGCCCAUUGCAACUGGACUUGAGAAGGAGGAGCUUGACGCUGAAAUAAAGGUGGAGUUUUGCUAUUAGACUAAGUUACUGCAAAAGAACAAAACAAAAACCUGUCAAAUGAAUGUUUUUUUUGUACUGUUCCUAAGUCUGAUGAUGUCUACCUCAAGCCUCUCGUAAAUGGGUAAAGACUCUUUUGGAAUGACACCAAAGACUUGGAGGCUACCAAAACAGAGGAGAUUGGAUUUAGUAACGGCUUUGCAACAAGUAAGAAAUGCUUAACCUUGAAGGAGCUUCUUCAACAAAGGUUUAUCACAUAGUCGUGCAUGUUGUUGUUAUCCUUGUAUGAUCCAAAACCUUAGGUUAUG